GCCGAGACAAAGCGCCUCGCUCUAACCCUGUCGUCUCUCCCUUUUCCUGUGCCGGCGACGAGUGACGCUUGAUUUGCUUCUCCGUGUAUGAAACGGGCGGAGUAAUGGUUCGUCUUGAUUUCUUUUUAUUCAAUCGCCCACAAAGAGAUCUUGAAUGAUGCAUUCUUCACUCUGAGACGGUUUCAGAUCGAGUUUUCUUCUCCUACUUGAAGACCGGUGGUUGCACAUCCGCCGUCGAGGCUAGGGUGCUGCGUUUCUGGAGGCGAGAAAUGUCAAGCGCCGUGGUGAACUCAUGUGGGUUGAUAUAAUUUCGGUUGAUGUGAAUAUGACUAUGAUGCUCACUGGGAGAUGGACAAGUAACCUCGAUUGUUUUGACUUUCAGAUUUUGAAGGUUUCGUUCAUAUCUGGAAAGAAGGGAAUCGUAAUUCUGGGCUUGAUCUAGAUUCAUAUAUACGGGACAUCAAGGAGAAGUUGCCUAUGUGGCGGUGGAAUUUGAGACAGCGAAAUCAAGCUCUGCAAUCGAGAAGACUAAUGAGCUCCCUGAUGGUCAGGUGAUCCCGAUUGGUGCAGAAAGGUUCUGCUCGGAAGUCCUCUUUCAGCCAUUGUUUGUCGGGAUAGAAGCACCAGGGUUUAUAUUGUGAUCUAGACCGUUGUUGCUAAUUUAUAGAUUUACAUAAAUUGACAUAACUCCUACCGUUUAGUUCCAGAGAUAUCGUAGGUGAAGUCAUGGGAAUGAAUACAACUUACAAUAAAGAAACCCAGACCACUCAACGUGUUAUGGCAGUCAUCCGCAUUCACAGUUGCAAAACGGUGAGUUAGUGUUUUCAAUGGCCUUGCCGUGCAACUACGUACUAAAUUAGGCUCGACUGGUUUUAAGCCAAAGGUCAUAGUUGAGACAAACAUUAAUACGAAAAUGGUUGGAGGCCGACUCUUCCUAAAUUCAGCUUCUUGAACUUUCUCCUUCGACAAGGAGAGUAGCACAGGCGUCGGUAACCUGAAAGUGCUGAUGCAGACUGCACCAGUGAGUCCUCUACUUAUACGCAAGAUGGAGGUGUCAAGAAGAUUGAGUCGAUAACACUACCAGAGCUGAUGCUUAUGUACUGAGUUCACCCCCGAGACUGCAUAGUUUCUAUGCCCUAGGAAGGUAACUGAACUAAAUGGUCUCCGUGCAACCACCGAGAUAGAUGCCUACUGAGAAGUCCCAAGAUGAUGAUGUUGGACACUCUGAAAGAAGGCACGAGACUUUCACAAAUCACAGUUACUCUAAUCUCCUUAAAAAAAAUCGUUGCAUCAAUAAGAUCGAGUGCAAGUCUAUGUGGUGUUUUGACUACAUUUAGCUGUUUAAAACAUUUCCGUAUCCAUCUAUAAACCUAUGUUUGUUUCCUAAAAAUUGUGUGAAUGGAAUAUCUUAGAACACAA